GGAAAGAUGAAAAGAACUUUGAAAAGAGAGUUAAAUAGUACGUGAAAUUGUUGAAGGGGAACGAUUGAAGUCAGUCUGCCAGUGGGAAUCAACUUAGAGAAACUCUAAGUGCACUUCUUUGCUUGGCAGGUCAAUGUCGAUUUUGGAUGUCAUAAAAUGAUUGGGGGAAGGUAGCUCUUUUUGGAGUGUUAUAGCCUUUGGUAGAUGUGAUGUCUGGGAUCGAGGAUUGCAAUGGAUACCCUUUAGGGCUAGCCAUCUGAUCUCUAAUCAGUAUUGGAUUACGGAUAGCAUGCUGACUGUGAUUCAAUUAUUGGUUAAAAGAUUAGAGCGUGCAUAAAUUCAUUAAGGACGUUGACGUAAUGGCUUUAAACGACCGUCUUGAAACACGGACCA
rnacentral:rRNA from 1 species